rnacentral:rRNA from 1 species
UACGGGGGAGCAAGCGUUGUUCGGAAUCACUGGGCGUAAAGGGAGUCUAGGCGGUUUGGUAAGUGGGAUGUGAAAUCCCCGGGCUCACCCCGGGACCUGCAUCCCAAACUGCUGAGCUUGAGUACAGGAGAGGGUGGGGAAUUCCAGGUGUAGCGGUGAAAUGCGUAGAUAUCUGGAGGAACACCGGUGGCGAAGGCGCCCACCUGGCCUGCUACUGACGCUGAAGCUCGAAAGCUAGGGAGCAAACGGG